UACAGAGGUGGCAAGCGUUGUUCGGAAUUACUGGGCGUAAAGGGCGAGUAGGCGGCCUUCUAAGUCAGACGUGAAAUCCCCCGGCUUAACCUGGGAACUGCGUCUGAUACUGGGAGGCUUGAGUAUGGGAGAGGGAUGUAGAAUUCCAGGUGUAGCGGUGAAAUGCGUAGAUAUCUGGAGGAAUACCGGUGGCGAAGGCGGCAUCCUGGACCAACACUGACACUGAGGAGCGAAAGCCAGGGGAGCAAACGGG
rnacentral:rRNA from 1 species